CGACGCGGCGGCCGCAGCUAUGGGCGCCGGGCCUUCGGGGUUGCAGAGAGGGCUCGAGGAACGGCCGGGCGCGGCUGAAGAGACCGCCGCUGGGACUGGCCCUUGAGCUGAGCUGCGGCGGGGGUCCCCGCAGGCACUGCGAGAGCCCGUGAGCGCGAGCGGGACACAUCGGAGGAGCUGGGCAGCCGCCGGCUACUUCAGGGGGACCCGGCUGACCGCUGGGCAGAUCUACAGGGCCGUGUGGGCACCUCUGGGAGUGGGGUGACCCGCCUGGCACGUUUCGGGGGCCUGGGCGCUUCUGCAGGGGCCAACUCACAUCCCCGGGGGCACCGCCGGGGCCCAGCGCCGCCUCGGCCAGCCCAGGGGCGGCCCUGGAUGGCUGAGCUGCCCCCUCGCCGGCCGGCCGGGCGCCGCAGCGGCUGAGCUCGCUGGCAUCGCCGGGCUGCCGCCGCCCUCGCCGCCCCCUGCAUGCCCGGCGCCCGGGUCGCGGCCCACCUGGACUCUCUGGGCCCCCUGGUCCCCUCCGUGCCGCCGCCGCUGCUGCCCUCUAUGUUCUACGUGGGCCUGUUCUUCGUCAAUGUGCUGAUCCUAUACUACGCCUUCCUCAUGGAGUACAUCGUCCUUAACGUGGGCCUAGUCUUCCUGCCCGAGGACAUGGACCAGGCGCUCGUGGACCUCGGCGUGCUCUCUGACCCCGGCUCGGGCCUCUACGAUGCCGACUCGGAGCUCGACGUCUUCGAUGGUUACUUGGAGUAGGCUUGGUUGCUGUCCCCUGCUCCCCUUUCGAUCCGCAACCCUCGGCCCGGACCAGCGCCUAGAUCAUGCUGCUGCUGCUGGUUGAGGGCACCGUCAGGCCAGGGAUGGGACCCCCAGGACGAGGCCCUCCCCGGCCUCCAAGGCCUGCCUGCUCCCCUGGAAAUCUCCGUGCCAACAGAAAGGUUCCUGUCCGGACCCAGGACAGUGGGACAGAGAGAUUGAGACUGAGUGCCCCUGCCCGAGGGCAGUGGCAGAGGCGCCCCCAGACCUCGCUCGCCUGCAGCGUUGCACAGACGGCCUUGCCUUGGCUUCCAGCCUUUCGCCAUUGCGAUGGGUGUUUACGGGAACCCAGCCAGAGUCUGCCUCCUCGCUCCUCAUCCCCGACCGCACCUGCUUCCCCCACCUAACCUUCAGAGAGGGCACUUCACACGCAGAAGCAAUUCCCAGCUGUCGGAGACCUCAGCCCGCCGGGGCUCAGCCCAGGGCCGGGCUCAGAUGCCACGACUGUUUCAGUGAGUGACUCAGAAGGUGAAGACCACGGCGGGGGCCAAGGGGGGGUUUUGACUCAUUAAUUUCAAGUUUGCUCUCCAUCAAGUUGCCAGAACUGAUACUUUGUGCCAGGGGAUGGCGCUCCUCCGGCCAGAAAUAUUUUUUGAAAAUGUGAGUGGUAUGAAUACUUGACUUCCAU
rnacentral:lncRNA from 1 species